GAUGAACGCUGGCGGCGUGCCUAAUACAUGCAAGUCGAGCGAACAGACGAGGAGCUUGCUCCUCUGACGUUAGCGGCGGACGGGUGAGUAACACGUGGAUAACCUACCUAUAAGACUGGGAUAACUUCGGGAAACCGGAGCUAAUACCGGAUAAUAUAUUGAACCGCAUGGUUCAAUAGUGAAAGACGGUUUUGCUGUCACUUAUAGAUGGAUCCGCGCCGCAUUAGCUAGUUGGUAAGGUAACGGCUUACCAAGGCGACGAUGCGUAGCCGACCUGAGAGGGUGAUCGGCCACACUGGAACUGAGACACGGUCCAGACUCCUACGGGAGGCAGCAGUAGGGAAUCUUCCGCAAUGGGCGAAAGCCUGACGGAGCAACGCCGCGUGAGUGAUGAAGGUCUUCGGUUCGUAAAACUCUGUUAUUGGGGAAGAACAAAUGUGUAAGUAAAUAUGGACGUCUUGACGGUACCUAAUCAAAAAGCCACGGCUAACUACGUG
rnacentral:rRNA from 1 species